rnacentral:snRNA from 1 species
GGAUGUGAGGGCAAUCUGUCACCCCACUGAUCACCAGGGUUGAUUCAGCUGGUCUGGCUGGCCAGGCGGGUGUCCCCUCCCUGUCUCCCUCACUGCUCCAUGUGUGUCCCUCCAGAAGCUGCGCACUAGGUCCAAGAGGACAAACUUCCCGGAAUAGAGACCGAUCAGUCUUUAGUUUAGUGUAUAUGAGUAGUUGCACUCCCCUGCUAGAACCUCCAAACAAGCUCUCAAAUAGUCCAAUAAUUAAAUUAAUUAAUUAAUUUUUACCAGAGUACUGUUCAGCUGUGGUUUGUGGUGGUGCUGGGGACUGAAUCUGGGAUU